rnacentral:lncRNA from 1 species
AGUGACCUUUAUGAAGUGAUUCAGUCCACCUUUGAUGGCCUGCUGAGCGAGUCUCCGCCUGUUUGGCUAGAAAACCACAGUGCCGUAACUGUUGUCAUGGCGAGUGGAGGGUAUCCUGGAGCCUACACCAAGGGUGUGGAGAUUACAGGUGAGGAGCAGUGGGUAAGAGGUUUGCCACAGCGAGUGCCGUUCGUGUUCUUUCCUGCUCCGAGAGACAUGAGUGACCUGGUCAGACUCCCAGUGUGAUCUCACUGCAGCCCCACACCUCCUCCUUCCCAGAGCCGGGUGGUGGGCAGGGUGAGAUUUGCAUUGUUAGCAUGGACGAGUGAGACCUGAGAGACAUGAACUCUGCUUUGCAAGUGCAGUGCCGGAUGGGGAUUUCUAUGGCAGGAUUUAAUGUUUGAAAUCUAGUUCCCCCUCCCCCUUUUUUAACAGGCUGUGAAGAAGUAUCUGGAUAAAUGGUGUUAAAUCUGUUUAUAAAUGAAAAUGAAGUGCCAGAUAAGUUGUGCCAUCCAGCCAGAACCUCUGUGUUCGCUAACGUGCUGUAGUGUAGCUCAGAAGUGCUCACAUAGUGUGUUUGCCUCAAGAGCUGUAUUUUCUCUCCUGCCCAGCAAAGUAAGCAAGAAGUCUGUCACCGUGGGCUCACACACUCAGGAGCUGUGUGCUUCUGUAAGGGAAUAGAGAGAUGAGAUUGAACCAAGAACCUUUGUGAUGAUGACCUUUCUCCUCACACUGGGACUGAUGAGUGUGAUAGCAAUUUCCGUAACGACGUAGUGGUCGCUACCAGUAGUAGGCAUGAAGUCAUUUGUGCUGGGUGGGUGGCAUCAUUUCGUCAGACACUCAGACCUUGGCUAGCACA